CAUGCCGCCUAUCCGCGCCCCUCCCACACACUCCUGACCUCCUCCCGGCAUGCCACCGCCCCUGCUCCUCCCUCCUCCAGGAGGACGCGCCGCCGCCCCGUUCUUCCUUCCUCCUGUCGGUGGGUCAGGUCCCUCAACGUCGCGGCGUCGGAGGCGUACGCAAGGCCGGUGCUGAUGCCGGGGUGCAACAAGGCCCCGAUGGCUGCGUGGAAACCUUCUCCCAAGCCGAUGUGGAAGGCGCCAGAGAAGCCUCCGGCCGCUGACCCGGCCAAAGAGGAUGAGUUGCAGGGCGCGAAGAAGGACGCGGGGGCCGCCACUGCUGUUGGCGACGACGGCGCUAGGAAGGGGAACUCGUCCCCAUUGCCUCCGCCGAGGAAGCUGCAAGAUGCGCCGGUGGUGAACCUCAACGCGUCCUGCUCCUCGGAGGCCUCCGUGGAGUCGCUCCGCGGCCAGGCCCCAGGCGGAAGGACCGAGAGGGGUUGGUCCCGGCCGACCGCGCCCAAGCGUGGGAAGGCUGCGUCUAAGGUGGUGGAGAAGCACGCCGAUGUCGCGGAGGUUGCCGCUCCGGUGACGCCGGAGGCCGUCCGAGGGAGGAGCCGGUGCGCCUGGGUGACUCCGACCACCGUUGGAGAUGCUGCUGCUAUUUGUUCAGAUUGGGGGAGGCUAGAGAGGCUUGCUUCAUGUUGUGUUUGCUACGUCAGAGAGCAGUGAGAACUGAGAUUUGGGUGGGGGUGGAGGUAGCAGGGAGAGGAUGUUUACUCGAUGGAAGAGUGCAGGGGCACGCCUCCGAGCUAGCCGAUGCCUACUGUAUCCAGUGUUCUGCUGCAUCCGGUGCCACCUCAAAGAACACCUUCUUCUAGCUGGGCAUUGAACGCCUCAGGGACGACGAGGUGCAGCAACUGGGGUGGAAGCAGUUCAACUACAUGAUGAAGAAUUGAGUGAAGGGGUUAAGACGGUUGCGUUGUGCAUGCACUGCUUGCUUGCCGCAGCCGUAUGCGCACUGCUUGUGCUGGGCGCUGAUCUGGAGGCCCCUGAUCGGAAGGGACGCCACUGGAGUUGCUGCGGGAGAUGGUAGCGAAUACUGAUGUGGACAUUCAAGCUGCAAUAGUGGAGCUGCAUGUGCUGCUAUAGAUUGGUCCUUGCAGCUUAUGAAGGCAUCAACUAUUGGCGGCACAAAAUUGUGGAGCUUAAGAUUCCCCACCCUUAUUUCUGAAGGAAAGCUAAAGUUCGGGGUGCUAAUCUCCGAGGAUUUUCUCAAUGUGAAACGGUGCAAGAUGAGGAACUGGCUCAACUUCAGAGUUUCAGUUAAGUGCACAGUUAAAGAAAAAUUAUAACAACUCGGAUGCAGCUCAGAGGUCAAAUAUCAUGAUGCAGAGUAGGCACUAAACCUAAUGUAUCUACUUGAUUUUGUUGUUGCAGAUUAAAUGGUUAUCUUAUCUGUACACAGCUGAUUAGGCAGUAUAGCAGUACCCGCACGUUUAAUAGUUGUUAAAUAGUUUUUGUGCAUAGUUGAACUGUGUAUUGAGAUGGGAAGCCAAGUUGUUUAAUUUGCGGAUUCCACUUGUCAGACUGGUGGCAUUCCUUAAUUUCUGAUCCCUCGUUAUGAUUUGAUUCUUAUUUAUAUUGUCCUAUGGAAAGAGCAUUAGGAUAGGACAAGCAAACAAGCCUUUCAACAUUCAUGGUGUAUAUUUUGUUUCACCGAGGCGUGUUGCUUAUGAUUUUGAAUUCGAACGGAUCUGCUUCUGUUCACUAAAGAAAUAAAUGCAUGGAUAGAGAAGGUAUGCUCUAAGCUGUUUUCCCUUAGUUUAAAGGAAGGAUUAGUAGUACAUGUAACUGUCUUUUCUUUUCUUGGUAUUCAAACAAGAACAAAUCACUGUUGAUGUUUAGACUCUCUAGAAUCUGGUAAAUUUUAUUCUUCCUCUUAAACUUCUGAUACAAAAUUGGAGUUGUAAAUUAUUUAUUCUGGCACAACCAACUGCUUCUUAUUCUGCCUAGCUUGCUUUUGAUGAAGUAUUCCUGGUGACCUGGUCAAUAGACUGCACUUGCCUAUUCCAAGCACAUACAUGCCUAAGGAUGUCCUGUAAGAAAAGCUUUAACGAAAUCACUUUGGUUUGUAAAUGUCCUUGAGGAUUGAAUUAAUAGAAACUAGCAAUUCUUCUGCCUAAACUGAUUCCUGUAAAUUUUCUUGCCGAACUACUACAUGGUAAUACUCCCUUCAUUCCAUAUUCUAAUGCACAUAGUUUUUUGCCUAGAUUCCGAAAUGUAGUGCGCAUAAGCUGCUUUGGACUAAAGUAGCCCUGGACUGUUCACAGGAACGCAGCAGCAGACACCCACGUGCUGUGACAGAGCGAGCAGCUGGAGGGCAAUUCCUGUCCAAAUGAGAAUGUCAGCUCAGGCAUUGGUAUAAACGCUACACACAAAGGCGCAUUAUAAAGUGGAACAGUGGGAGUACUAAAUUCAUAUGUAAUACUAAAUUCCUACAUGUCAUAAAUUGGGGUUUUCGACAAUAAGUACCUAAGUCUAUGUUAUGUUUAAGUUAAAAAACAAUGUCGAUGUGAGCCAUACAUACACCGAUUAAUAAAGCGGUUAGUACUUAACUUGACCGUCAUGUCCUAUGUGCCUUAGGGGUAAGUUUUCAUCUCCACCAUUGACCCGCUUAAGGUGGCUAUACUGAAGCAGACCCCAUAUAAUUAUGAAUGGUUUAUGAAGUUGAAGGAUGAAACUUGAAUGAACACAAUGUUGAGGUUUGUAAAGUGAAGCCUAAGACAAGUUUGAGAGGGUAAUAUGGACUUCUCUCAAACUAUAUUACCAGAGGACAAUGAGGGCCUUGGAAUACAAUGACAGCGAUGAGUUUCUCCCGGUUCUGUUUUGUUGUAGGUGAAGUUCUUAAUUAUAAUUAUCAAUGUGUUUGUUUUUCCUAAGGAUGCAGUGACAUGCAAGGUGAGGCAAAUUGAAGCCAAAACAGUAGGACGGUCGGAAGUGUGCCAUUUUUUCUAUAUAGGGAAUCUUCAGGGAAUCAAGCGGUAGCACCGGAUGCUGACAUGCAUGGAAGCGCAUGACGAGGUGGGGUCUUACAGCGGGAAAUCGAGAGCGAAGGGGAGAGUCCAAUAGGAAAAGUGAAGGGUGCGUCAUGGGGUGGAGUGGAGUUUUUCUAUUGGGUUGGAAUGACAACUUUGCUUGAUAGCUGCCUGGGAUAGACAGUAACAUCUCAUCAUGCAACAUGCCAGUUGGGGAACUGAGUGCGGUAGCGGAGCUGUGGGAGUGGUGGACAUGCAAUGAGGGAAGGACAAAGAAUAGAGGAUUAGGAAGGACAGAUGGAGGUGUCAGAGCUGAGAGAAAAGAGGGAAAUACCGAAGGGAGCUGGCAUGGAAAGAAAGCGAAGUUGUGCCCCAAGGUUAGAGUGUGAUCGUGCUAUAAAUGUUACCUUUUAUCAAUGCUCGUGUUCAUUCUCGAAGGCUCCACACAAUCAUUGUGAAGGAAGAUGGCAAACUCAUUGAGGACAAUCAUUGUGGUGAUUUCUAAGCUCAAUUUCUGGUGGAGUAGUCUCAUGACAAAUUAAGAGGACAACCCAUGAGUAACUCAUAAAUUUAUAAAAUCACCUUGUUUUUUCAUGCAUAUUCAUGUUACCUACAAACGUUAGAUGUGAUUGAUUUAGGGAAGAAACAAUGGAAGAGAUGGUGGUUUUGCAAUGUAAAAUAUAUGUCUGAAUCAAGUAUUGUUUAUUUAAUCAUCUA